UGCGUCUUGGCCGGCAGCUACACAUGCAAGUCGAGCGGCAGCGGGUCCUUCGGGAUGCCGGCGAGCGGCGGACGGGUGAGUAAUGCCUAGGAAUCUGCCUGGUAGUGGGGGAUAACUCGGGGAAACUCGAGCUAAUACCGCAUACGUCCUACGGGAGAAAGCGGGGGAUCUUCGGACCUCGCGCUACCAGAUGAGCCUAGGUCGGAUUAGCUAGUUGGUGAGGUAAAGGCUCACCAAGGCGACGAUCCGUAGCUGGUCUGAGAGCAUGAUCAGCCACACUGGAACUGAGACACGGUCCAGACUCCUACGGGAGGCAGCAGUGGGGAAUAUUGGACAAUGGGCGAAAGCCUGAUCCAGCCAUGCCGCGUGUGUGAAGAAGGUCUUCGGAUUGUAAAGCACUUUAAGUUGGGAGGAAGGGCAGUAAGCUAAUACCUUGCUGUUUUGACGUUACCGACAGAAUAAGCACCGGCUAACUUCGCGCCAGCAGCCGCGGUAAUACGAAGGGUGCAAGCGUUAAUCGGAAUUACUGGGCGUAAAGCGCGCGUAGGUGGUUUGAUAAGUUGGAUGUGAAAGCCCCGGGCUCAACCUGGGAAUUGCAUCCAAAACUGUCUGACUAGAGUAUGGCAGAGGGUGGUGGAAUUUCCUGUGUAGCGGUGAAAUGCGUAGAUAUAGGAAGGAACACCAGUGGCGAAGGCGACCACCUGGGCUAAUACUGACACUGAGGUGCGAAAGCGUGGGGAGCAAACAGGAUUAGAUACCCUGGUAGUCCACGCCGUAAACGAUGUCGACUAGCCGUUGGGAUCCUUGAGAUCUUAGUGGCGCAGCUAACGCAUUAAGUCGACCGCCUGGGGAGUACGGCCGCAAGGUUAAAACUCAAAUGAAUUGACGGGGCCCGCACAGCGGUGAGCAUGUGGUUUAUUCGAAGCAACGCGAAGACCUUACCAGGCCUUGAACAUGCAGAAGAACUUUCCAGAGAUGA
rnacentral:rRNA from 1 species